UACGUAGGGUGCAAGCGUUGUCCGGAAUUAUUGGGCGUAAAGAGCUCGUAGGCGGUCUGUCGCGUCUGCUGUGAAAACUCAGGGCUUAACCCUGAGCUUGCAGUGGGUACGGGCAGACUAGAGUGCGGUAGGCGAGACUGGAAUUCCUGGUGUAGCGGUGAAAUGCGCAGAUAUCAGGAGGAACACCGGUGGCGAAGGCGGGUCUCUGGGCCGUAACUGACGCUGAGGAGCGAAAGCAUGGGGAGCGAACAGG
rnacentral:rRNA from 1 species